UACGGAGGGUGCGAGCGUUGUUCGGAAUCAUUGGGCGUAAAGGGCGUGUAGGUGGUCUGUUAAGUCAUGUGUGAAAGCCCUCAGCUUAACUGGGGAAGUGCGCAUGAAACUGACAGGCUAGAGUACCGAAGAGGAAGGUGGAAUUCCCGGUGUAGCGGUGAAAUGCGUAGAUAUCGGGAAGAACACCCGUGGCGAAGGCGGCUCUCUGGGACGGUACUGGACGCUGAGACGCGAAAAGCGUGGGGAGCGAACAGG
rnacentral:rRNA from 1 species